ensembl:misc_RNA 7SK 7SK RNA
GAAUGUGAGGGUGAUCUGGCUGUGACAUCUGUCACCCCAUCGAUCGCCAUGGUUGAUUUGGUUGUUCUGGCUGUCUAGGCGGAUGUCCUCUUUCUCCCUCGCUGCUCCUUGUGCGUCCCUCCCGAAGCUGCGUGCUUGGUCUAAGAGGACGACCUUCCCCAAUAGAAGAGGAUCUUUCUUUGGUCAAGGAUAUACAAGUAGCUGCACUACCCUGCUAUAAACUCCAAAUAAGCUCUCAAGGUCCAUUAGUAGGAGAACAUAGGGUAGUCAAGCCUCCAAGACUCCAGACACAACCAAAUGAAGUAUUAAUAUGGUAGUCUACCUUUCUUU